ACUUCGGGCUUUAUUUGCGCAGGAUAGGUGGGAGGCUUUGAUCAUAUUUUUGCGGAAUUAUGUGAGCCGUUGGUGAGAUACCACUCUUGUAAAGCUAGAAUUCUAACCUUGUAUCGUAAGCAGGUCAGGGAACAGUUUCAGGUGGGCAGUCUGACUGGGGCGGUCGCCUCCUAAAAGGUAACGGAGGCGCACAAAGGUUUCCUCAUAUCGGUCAGAAAUCGAUAGUAGAGCGUAAAGGCAUAAGGAAGCUUGACUGCGAGACCUACAAGUCGAGCAGAGACGAAAGUCGGUCUUAGUGAUCUGACGGUUCCGAGUGGAAGGGCCGUCACUCAACGGAUAAAAGUUACUCUAGGGAUAACAGGCUGAA
rnacentral:rRNA from 1 species